rnacentral:rRNA from 1 species
CAAGAUGCUACAACCCGACUGGGGGAUGGCUCGGCUCGAGAGCCGAAGAAGGUCGUGACAAGCUGCGAUAAGUUGCGGGGGGAGGCAUGAAUCUCUUGGAUCCGCAAAUUGCUGAAUUGGGCCUCCUGG